rnacentral:rRNA from 1 species
UACGUAGGGUGCAAGCGUUAAUCGGAAUUACUGGGCGUAAAGCGUGCGCAGGCGGUUUGGCAAGACAGAUGUGAAAUCCCCGGGCUCAACCUGGGAACUGCAUUUGUGACUGCAUAGCUAGAGUACGGUAGAGGGGGAUGGAAUUCCGCGUGUAGCAGUGAAAUGCGUAGAUAUGCGGAGGAACACCGAUGGCGAAGGCAAUCCCCUGGACCUGUACUGACGCUCAUGCACGAAAGCGUGGGGAGCAAACAGG